rnacentral:lncRNA from 1 species
AGCUUACUGUUCUUACAGUGAUUAAAAUGGCUUCCAGAGGAAAGACGGAGACAAGCAAACUAAAGCAGAAUUUAGAAGAGCAGUUAGAUAGACUGAUGCAGCAGCUACAAGAUCUGGAGGAAUGCAGGGAGGAGCUCGAUGGGGAUGAAUAUGAAGAAACUAAAAAGGAAACUUUGGAGCAGUUGAGUGAGUUCAACGAUUCGCUGAAGAAGAUUAUGUCAGGAAAUAUGACUUUGGUAGAUGAACUCAGUGGAAUGCAACUGGCCAUUCAGGCAGCUAUCAGCCA